GACGAACGCUGGCGGCGUGCCUAAUACAUGCAAGUAGAACGCACAGUUUAUACCGUAGCUUGCUACACCAUAGACUGUGAGUUGCGAACGGGUGAGUAACGCGUAGGUAACCUGCCUGGUAGCGGGGGAUAACUAUUGGAAACGAUAGCUAAUACCGCAUAAUAUUGAUUAUUGCAUGAUAAUUAAUUGAAAGGUGCAAUUGCACCACUACCAGAUGGACCUGCGUUGUAUUAGCUAGUAGGUGAGGUAACGGCUCACCUAGGCGACGAUACAUAGCCGACCUGAGAGGGGGAUCGGCCACACUGGGACUGAGACACGGCCCAGACUCCUACGGGAGGCAGCAGUAGGGAAUCUUCGGCAAUGGACGAAAGUCUGACCGAGCAACGCCGCGGGAGUGAAGAAGGUUUUCGGAUCGUAAAGCUCGGUUGUAAGAGAAGAACGGGUGUGAGAGUGGAAAGUUCACACUGUGACGGUAUCUUACCAGAGAGGGACGGCUAACUACGUG
rnacentral:rRNA from 1 species